ACUCGCUACACCCUCCUUCCAAGAAAAUGCACCGCAAGGCAAGACAGCACCCCGUCAACACCACAGAAGACAACACCACAAAAAGCGAAAGGAGCCUGUGGCUGCACUCGUGAACGUCUACAAGCAUAUUGUGGAAUGCAAGAAAACUGAUGUCGUGUUGUUGACCAAGGAGAAUGAGACAUCGAAAGAGAUAGGAAAACAAUAUAAUGCCAACCACGGGAUUACGCGGCAUGAUCACCUUGAAGUGAAAAAAUGUUGGAACAACCUGUAACAAAAGUGGAAAGAGAAAACUGCGAAAGAAAAGGGAGAGCGCCACAAAACUGGAGGUGACUGGCACCUUGGGCCAUGGCCCCCCAUUCGCCAUUUGGUGGGAUCGAUCGCUGGCCGCAUAUCAACGAGGGUAGAGAACUCUUUCGAUUCAGAUGGGAUAGAAUACCAGCCCCCCCGUCAAAAGUCUGCCUGUGAUGAGGCUACUGCAGCCAGUGGUCGAUGGGAAAAAUGAGCUGGACUUUGACUUUCCAGAUGAUCAGCAGGAUGCUGCCAGCCUUGCUGAGCAAUCACAGCCACCAGCAGGUACUGGAACAAAUGAGGACACCUCCCCCUCUUCAGUCAUGCAGCCCAAUGCCGGCCAAAACGUUACUGCAGCAGGCCACACCAACAACUUUAAUGCUUCUGGAGCUGCUGUCAGCUGCACUUUUGUUGCAGCAACUGCCACUGGUGAUGCCUGCAGGACUCUAAGGGGGCAAAUGGCCCUCUUGGAAAAGAUUAAUGCUGAAGUCCGUUCAGGGCUGCUGAGGGAGGAGCACGCUAUCUGUGUGUGAGUGCUUCACAAGAACCAUGCUGCCAUGCUGCAGGAAUGAGCAGAAAAGAGGGCCUUUCAAAAGCAAGUGGAAGAGCUUGAGCUUAUGAAAUGAAAAAAUGAGCUCAAGAAACAACAGCUGGACAUCGAGAUCCUUCAAAUAGAAAAAUAAAUUA